rnacentral:rRNA from 1 species
GAUGAACGCUAGCGGGAGGCCUAACACAUGCAAGCCGAGCGGUAGAGUUUCUUCGGAAACUUGAGAGCGGCGCACGGGUGCGUAACACGUGUGCAACCUACCUUUAUCUGGGGGAUAGCCUUUCGAAAGGAAGAUUAAUACCCCAUAAUAUACUGAUUGGCAUCAAUUAUUAUUGAAAACUCCGGUGGAUAGAGAUGGGCACGCGCAAGAUUAGCUAGUUGGUGAGGUAACGGCUCACCAAGUCAAUGAUCUUUAGGGGUCCUGAGAGGGAGAUCCCCCACACUGGUACUGAGGUACGGACCAGACUCCUACGGGAGGCAGCAGUGAGGAAUAUUGGACAAUGGAGGAGAGCCUGAUCCAGCCAUCCCGCGUGAAGGAUGACGGUCCUAGGGAUUGUAAACUUCUUUUGUACAGGGAUAAACCUACCCUCGUGAGGGUAGCUGAAGGUACUGUACGAAUAAGCACCGGCUAACUCCGUG